rnacentral:rRNA from 1 species
UACGAAGGGGGCUAGCGUUGUUCGGAAUUACUGGGCGUAAAGCGCGCGUAGGCGGUGAUCUUUGUCAGAGGUGAAAGCCCGGGGCUCAACUCCGGAAUUGCCUUUGAAACGGGAUCGCUAGAGUCCGAGAGAGGAUGGCGGAAUUCCUAGUGUAGAGGUGAAAUUCGUAGAUAUUAGGAAGAACACCGGUGGCGAAGGCGGCCAUCUGGCUCGGUACUGACGCUCAGGCGCGACAGCGUGGGGAUCAAACAGG